UACGUAGGGUGCGAGCGUUAAUCGGAAUUACUGGGCGUAAAGCGCACGUAGUCGGCUUUGCAAGUCGGGUGUGAAAUCCCCGGGCUCAACCUGGGAACUGCAUCCGAGACUGCAUUGCUAGAGUAUGGGAGAGGGAAGCGGAAUUUCUGGUGUAGCAGUGAAAUGCGUAGAUAUCAGAAGGAACAUCAGUGGCGAAGGCGGCUUCCUGGACCAAUACUGACGAUCAGGUGCGAAAGCGUGGGGGAGCAAACAGG
rnacentral:rRNA from 1 species